GACGGAGGGGGCAAGCGUUGUCCGGACUCACUGGGCGUAAAGGGUGCGUAGGCGGCUUCGGGCGUCCACGCUGAAAUCUCUCGGCUUAACCGAGGGGCGCGUGUGGAUACGCCGAAGCUCGAGGCAUGGAGAGGAUGGGGGGAACUCCUGGUGUAGUGGUGAAAUGCGCAGAUAUCAGGAAGAACACCGAUGGCGAAGGCAGCUCUCUGGGACGGUACUGACGCUGAGACGCGAAAGCGUGGGGAGCGAACAGG
rnacentral:rRNA from 1 species